AUGUAUGAGAAUGUGGUUCAGUGGCGGUUCACGGGCUUCUAUGGUCACCCGAAAUGGAAUGAACGCCAUCUAUCUUGGGAUGACAUUCGCAAUCUACAUAGUAAGAGCAACCAUCCUUGGGUGGUUUUGGGGGAUUUUAAUGAAAUUUUAUACCCCUCGGAAAAAGAGGGUGGUGUAGCUAGACCACUUGGUAUGAUGAGAGAGUUCCGUGAAUGCCUAACGGAUUGUGGGCUGGAAGAUGUAGGCUAUUUUGGGGACAUGUUCACUUGGAGGAGAGGCGAAAUACGUGAGCGCCUUGAUCGGGCAGUUUGUAACUUAGCAUGGGCAAACAAAUUUCCACGAGCGGCAGUUAUCAAUGAAGAACAUGUUCAUUCUGACCAUCGCCCAAUCGUA
rnacentral:rRNA from 1 species